rnacentral:ncRNA from 1 species
AUAAACGCAAUGAACAAGAGUAGUAAGGGCUCAUUUGAUCGGUACAGAAAGCUGCGGGUUGAUGCGACGCAGACCGUGAAAUCCCUGAACUCGCUUGGAAGCGGUCCUCCUGAGCAGCAGAGAUACGAAGCUGUUAGGGAGGAACGGAUGACCUCCGUGAUCAGGUGAUGCAGUUGGCAGCAAGCUUGCUGACUGCAUCUGAGGUGGGCUCCGUGACUCGGAGUCAACAAGAGUGGUACCGCGCUGGGUGAAGACCCGUCGUCUCUUAU